UACGAAGGGGGGCGAGCGUUGUUCGGAAUUACUGGGCGUAAAGGGCGCGUAGGCGGCGACUCUAGUCAGAUGUGAAAGUCCUGGGCUUAACCUGGGGACUGCAUUUGAUACUGGGUUGCUUGAAUUCGGGAGAGGAUAGCGGAAUUCCCAGUGUAGAGGUGAAAUUCGUAGAUAUUGGGAAGAACACCGGUGGCGAAGGCGGCUAUCUGGACCGACAUUGACGCUGAGGCGCGAAAGCGUGGGGAGCAAACAGG
rnacentral:rRNA from 1 species